rnacentral:rRNA from 1 species
GACGAACGCUGGCGGCGUGCUUAACACAUGCAAGUCGAACGGAAAGGCCCUGCUUUUGUGGGGUGCUCGAGUGGCGAACGGGUGAGUAACACGUGAGUAACCUGCCCUUGACUUUGGGAUAACUUCAGGAAACUGGGGCUAAUACCGGAUAGGAGCUCCUGCUGCAUGGUGGGGGUUGGAAAGUUUCGGCGGUUGGGGAUGGACUCGCGGCUUAUCAGCUUGUUGGUGGGGUAGUGGCUUACCAAGGCUUUGACGGGUAGCCGGCCUGAGAGGGUGACCGGCCACAUGGGGACUGAGAUACGGCCCAGACGCCUACGGGAGGCAGGAGUGGGGAAUAUUGCACAAUGGGCGGAAGCCUGAUGCAGCAACGCCGCGUGCGGGAUUACGGCCUUCGGGUUGUAAACCGCUUUCGCCUGUGACGAAGCGUGAGUGACGGUAAUGGGUAAAGAAGCACCGGCUAACUACGUG